CCUGAAUGUCUGCAAGGGGAGAGCCAACCCGCCAGCCAGAACACCUGCCCUGGGGGAUUAUGUGAAGAAUCACCUCAAGAAUGGCAUGUCCAAGCUGGAGGCUGCUACUUCGGCCUGGAUCCCGGAACGAACAGGCCAGUGUCACAGCCAGCAUGCAGCUGACAUCAAAGGCUGUUGUAGUAAACCACUGAGUUGUUGGGGGUGUUUGUUAAUACAGCAUAACCUAGCAAACGCUAA